AUUGAACGCUGGCGGCAUGCUUUACACAUGCAAGUCGAACGGUAACAGGGAGCUUGCUCCGCUGACGAGUGGCGAACGGGUGAGUAAUGCGUCGGAACGUGCCGAGUAGUGGGGGAUACCGCAUCGAAAGGUGUGCUAAUACCGCAUACGAACUGAGGUUGAACGUGGGGGACCUUCGGGCCUCACGCUAUUCGAGCGGCCGACGCCUGAUUAGCUAGUAGGGGCAGUAAAGGCUCACCUAGGCGACGAUCAGUAGCGGUUCUGGGAGGAUAAACCGCCACACUGGGACGGAGACACGGCCCAGACGCCUACGGGAGGCAGCAGUGGGGAAUUGUUCGCAAUGAGGGAAACCCGGACGAAGCAACGCCGAGUGGAGGAUGAAGGCCUUCGGGUCGUAAACUCCUGUCGACCGGGACGAAAGUAGCCCAACCUAAUACGUCGGGCUAUCGACUGUACCGGUGGAGGAAGCCACGGCUAACUCUGUGCCAGCCGCCGCCGUAAAAC
rnacentral:rRNA from 1 species